UCAGGAUGAACGCUGGCGGCGUGCCUAACACAUGCAAGUCGAACGAAGCAUGCGGACCGGAGAUUCGUCGAAGGACCGUAUGACUUAGUGGCGGACGGGUGAGUAAUGUAUGAGCAACCUGCCUUUCAGAGGGGGACAACAGUUGGAAACGACUGCUAAUACCGCGUAAUGUAUCGUGAGGGCAUCCUCGUGAUACCAAAGGAGCAAUCCGCUGAAAGAUGGGCUCAUAUCUGAUUAGCUUGUUGGCGGGGUAACGGCCCACCAAGGCGACGAUCAGUAGCCGGACUGAGAGGUUGAACGGCCACAUUGGGACUGAGAUACGGCCCAGACUCCUACGGGAGGCAGCAGUGGGGAAUAUUGGACAAUGGGGGAAACCCUGAUCCAGCGACGCCCGCGUGAGUGAAGAAGUAUUUCGGUAUGUAAAGCUCUAUCAGCAGGGAAGAUGAUGACGGUACCUGACUAAGAAGCACCGGCUAAAUACGUGCCAGCAGCGGC
rnacentral:rRNA from 1 species